rnacentral:rRNA from 1 species
UACGUAGGGUGCAAGCGUUGUCCGGAAUUAUUGGGCGUAAAGAGCGUGUAGGUGGCCCGACAAGUCCGCUGUGAAAGUCCAGGGCUCAACCCUGGAAUGCCGGUGGAUACUGUCGGGCUAGAGUCCGGAAGGGGCGAGUGGAAUUCCUGGUGUAGCGGUGAAAUGCGCAGAUAUCAGGAGGAACACCGGUGGCGAAGGCGGGUCUCUGGGCCGAUACUGACGCUGAGGAGCGAAAGCGUGGGGAGCGAACAGG